GUUUGUUUGCCUUUCUGUAAGUAAAGUCUUUGUUAAUUUUCCCCCUUUUGAGUUUCGUGUUUUAUUUUCCACUCUGCGCCUGGGUCCCAGCACCCGUACCGUCACAGAUGCAGCUUUGUCACUGGAGUUUAUGCAAAGAAGUCUCCUGGGGAUCAAUCCUGGACGAGGGUCCAAAGCAGAGCAGAAAGGGAAAAAGGCGCACAAGAUUCAUCCUAAAUUGUUAAAGUUCCUCUCUGAACUAAGUGACUACCAAAAUCCAUGGAGAAUCUAAUUGAGUUCAUGCAGGAGUCUCCAGGUGUGUGUCUCUCACUACUGCAGUGCACCACAGUGGCCAAGGAGAGAUGACAAACUCCACGCUGUUCUACUGGAGCCAGUGCCACCAUGUGUGUGUGAGGUUAAGC